GAUUGAGAUGAUGAUACAAUAUACCUAUUGGGUUGAUUGGCCUGCAUGAUGGUCUCAAUUCUGUAUUUAGCUCUAUCUGAUCCAUC